CUUACUGCCCCCGCUGAAGCACAGAGUGUAGCAUGAUGAGCUAACCUGAUGCAUGGCCAUCUUUAUGCUGUACAGGAAGGUGGACAGAGCUGCCAUCGCUCCUUCAUGAGGUUCCAAAUGCAAGGGUCCACCUGGAUGCUCAGGUCAUCUGUGAGGGUCAAGAAGAAGCCAGGACACAGGAGGGCCCUUUCCUAGUUGCAGCUCAUGAGAAAUGGUCUGCUGAAUGUUCAGUGUGACCAGAUGAAGACGAAGGAGCUACAGAGGAAACAUAUAGGAGCUCCAGUAUGCCUCAGGACGUGAUGCAGUACACAGACUCAAGAGACCUUUUCAGUUUGGGAUGUGUUUGCUAUGAUGCAUAGAUGCUCAGGCAUAGUCCUCUGCCUGACUCUCAUGAAAAAUGUGCACUAGAGCCAGAAGUGCUGUGUUUCUGGCUGCAGAACCCCACAACAAUGUACAGUGAAGAACAUUGGCAGGACCACAUUCAGCCUUAACACAGACCACAUUUCCCUCCUUAAUCCAGAGGUUCCAUCUUUAGGCCCAUCCAAGAGGUUUCCAUAACUGUUCAUCAAGCAUGCAAGAAGUAAGGAUUAAAUACUUCAGAGUCACUAAACAGCCUUUAGUUUCCUAGAGCAUUUCUCACCAGAUUGUAAAAAUAUAGAACAAGGACUCUAUAUUGUGGAAAUUAUAUUUUUGCUAGAAAACAGGAAUAAACUCCUCUUUCUUAUCUUCCUUGCAAACUCUUCCUUCAGAUUGCUGAGCAGCCUAUUUCCUUAUUUCCAACUGUUAGCAUUCAUUUAGAGUUUUCUGCACCAUGCAGAUUGCCAGUCUUUCUUACCUUCCUUUUCCUCUUUCAUACACAAUUGCAGUAAAGAGAAUUUGUUCCCUCCGUAGCUGUCACACUGCACACAGAGCCAAUCUACCUCUCAGCAAUGCUACUGAGUAGAACAGGCACAAAGGAGUAUUCUGGAGUGUCACCUCUCAUGGGCAGGACAAACAGCUUCCAGCCACUUCCUAAAUGUAUGGUUGUUCAGGGACAAUGUCACCCACAUCAACAUACAAAAUUCUGCUAACUCAUAUCUCAGAUUUUUGUAAGUAUUGUACACAUGCAUAUUAAAGAUCGUGAUUUUUUAGCUAGGUAUUCACCUGAGUGGCUUUAAGUGCUUUUUGAAUAGUACAAAGAAAAGAAACAAACAACACUUCUAAAAGAAACUCGCUGCUCAAAGCCGAUACAUUUGUAGCCACCCCUUUCUCGAUGUAGCAUGGAGAACCAUUAUAAACAUAACAAAUAAAUAAAUAAAUAAAGGUAGGGUUAAUAAAACAACUUGACAGAAGUCACUAUGAUGUUAAUACUGCUACUUAAGGGAUAAGAAAAGGAAGGGCAACUUUUCCAAAUUAAUUAUUAAAGUUACAAAGCCUUUAUCACUGUGUUGAUUUGGGGGGGGGGGGGGGUGCACCUUUCAGAUAUGUUUAUA